rnacentral:rRNA from 1 species
ACGAACGCUGGCGGCGUGCUUAACACAUGCCAGUCGAACGGGCCCGCUCUCUUUUUUGGGGGUGGGUUGAGUGGCGAACGGGUGAGUAUCACGUGAGUAACCUGCCCCCUGCUCCUGGAUAACUGCUUGAAAGGGCGGCUAAUACGGGGUGUGCCGGCUGGUCCGCAUGGGCCUGGUCGGGAUAGUUUCAUCUUCGGGUGUUUCGGUGGGGGAUGGGCUCGCGGCCUAUCAGCUUGUUGGUGGGGUGAUGGCCCACCAAGGCGGUGACGGGUAGCCGGCCUGAGAGGGUGGGCGGCCACACUGGGACUGAGACACGGCCCAGACUCCUGCGGGAGGCAGCAGUGGGGGGUAUUGCACAAUGGACGGAAGCCUGAUGCAGCGACGUCGCGUGAGGGAUGGAGGCCUUCGGGUUGUGAACCUCUUUCUCCGGUGGUGAAGGCCCUGUCCGUUGCGGCGGGGUUGACGGUAGCCGGGUAUGAAGCGCCGGCUAACUACGUG